rnacentral:lncRNA from 1 species
CAUGACCUCAGCUUUGGACGAUCUGCUUUAGCUUGUACCUAGCCGAUCAAUUUCAGCCAGUAAGAGGAUAAGUGCCUGCUCUACAGGCUCCAGUACGUUAGCCACGGAUGAUCUAUCAUAGCUCGUCCAUCAUCGAGCUAAUCUCCACAUCAAAUCCGACCCUUCCUCAAAUUGAAAAAGUUCAGAUAGAGUAGAACUUAUCUACAAUUGAGUCUCCUAUAAAAGAAAAAUAUCUUCUCUAAAUC